UGUUGCUGGUACACAGCUUUGUUCCUGUCCAUGUUUGGCAGAGCAACACAGAACCUGAAUUUUAGUUACUUUUAGGAGAAGGGAAUUAUAUAAAAACACAUCAUUUCCCAGCAAGAAUUAGGUGCUUUAUUAUUUAGCAAUCUCCUCAAACAGUAAUGGCUUAAAUAUUUACCAGGAACUGUCGGGCAGCUGCCGUCUUUCACUGACUUUGUACUGAAACUAUGCCAAGCAUGUGGGCCGGUGCUCCUCACUCAUCAGGUAGACAUGUGUGGGGAAGCAGCGCACAGUGAAUUCAGUACUAUCCGAGCUUCAGGAAAGAUACUAACCUGCUCUACUGGGGAUGCGGGAAACAGGCCAUGCAGAAAGGGACCCAAGAGACAUGAAGUGUCUACGGAGAGUCUCUUCAUGAAAAUGCCAAGCAGAGACCCGGAACACAACGGCUUCUCAUACUAACAUGGAUUUCAGCCACCUUGGCAGUUAAGUACUACCCCGCUCCCGCCCUGAUAUGAUUAAACAGAUUUAUUGUGGGAGAACCAAAAUAUUUUUCUUUGCAGGAAAACAGUGGAGGGAAGGAGAAGAAAAAGAGGACAAUGAGGAGAAAGAGAAAGUGAAGGACAAGGAGAAGAGAGGAGGAGGAGGAGGAGGAGAAGGGGAGGAGAGCAGCAGCAGCAACAGCAUCCUGGUGAAGGACUUCAGGAGACAAAGAAAAUCAAAAAACUCUUGUCAAAUUUUACCACAGAGAGGGGAGAGUUCUUCUUUAUCUACUGUACCCCGCCUCCCAAACCAGAGCCUAUUUCAAAUUUGUAGAGGUGCCAAGAAGCAGAUAAACAAAGACAUUCCCCGGCAGGACAGCAAGAAGUGAUGCUGAGGUUUCUGAAAAACUGUGUGUACCAUGAAAUCAAAAAGAGUUGGAGGCCAUGGAUAAAGAGUAGCAGGACCAGCCCGCAGUCACAUGGCCUUUCCCAUCAGCCUGCAGCAGAGCUGCUCAGCGGCUGACGUAGCUAAGGAGCCUGUUACACAUGAGAAGCCCAGCACGUCUGAGGUAUCCGAUAUAAUUCCCACACCUCUUGUAGCUUUAUGCUUCUUCCAAAUUCACGUUUUGAGGACUUGCCUUCUAACUCUGGGGAGACUCUGCUAGCAAAAUACUGGCAAAGAACCGCUAAGGAGGAAGUGCUGACGACUGGGUGGGAUGCAUGACUGUUUGACACUUAUCUCUGCGGAGGGACACAGCUGGGCCAGAACCUAAGACUUUCGCCACAGACUUGCUUCAGACUUCACUCCUACCUAUCUUGAGGAAUGCACUUCUUCACAUGGGACGCAAGUGGAGAGGGGCUAGGCCUCCACCUGUUAUGGCAGCCGACAUGGAAGGCAUGCAUGUUACUAUUUCCAACACAGACAGCGGACAAGACUCUUUCAUCUCAUCCUUUCACCGUGGAAGCUGCCCUGAACUUCACAUUCCUCACAGCCACCUCCCAAGAAGACACGGCCAGUUGGUCCAGGUAUCUUGAUCCUGAAAACACAUUUCUUGUCACGUGCCAACUGGAGGAGCUGAGUUUCAGUUAGGAGAUGAGAGCAUCAAAUGACAAUGGGUUACGCAGGAGUAAACGUGAGAGAAGAGCUGCCUAGGAUUUUCGGUCUUACACCUAGGACCCCACCGAGGAUAAGAAAUGCCUUCCCCUGCGGAUCAUGAGUGUGUGACUGAAAGUAGCAGAGUUGUAUCCAAGCACAUGUCUCGGCACCUACCU